UGUAAAGUGUCUUGCCCAGGGACACAUUGGUGGAUGAAUCACAGUGGGAAUUGAACCCAGAUCUUCCACACCAAAGGCAUGUGUUAUGUCCACUACGCCAUCACCACCCACACCCGGGUCCUCACUGGAGAGCUG